UACGUAGGGGGCAAGCGUUGUCCGGAAUCAUUGGGCGUAAAGAGCGUGUAGGCGGCCAGAUAAGUCCGCUGUGAAAUCUCGAGGCUCAACUUCGAGCUGUCGGUGGAAACUGUCUGGCUAGAGUCCGGAAGAGGAGAAUGGAAUUCCUGGUGUAGCGGUGAAAAUGCGCAGAUAUCAGGAAGAACACCCGUGGCGAAGGCGGUUCUCUGGGACGGUACUGACGCUGAGACGCGAAAAGCGUGGGGGAGCGAACAGG
rnacentral:rRNA from 1 species